ACGAACCCUUCGGGGUUAGUGGCGCACGGGUGCGUAACGCGUGGGAACCUGCCUUUAGGUUCGGAAUAACAGUUAGAAAUGACUGCUAAUACCGGAUAAUGUCUUCGGACCAAAGAUUUAUCGCCUUUAGAUGGGCCCGCGUUAGAUUAGAUAGUUGGUGGGGUAAUGGCCUACCAAGUCGACGAUCUAUAGCUGGUCUGAGAGGAUGAUCAGCCACACUGGGACUGAGACACGGCCCAGACUCCUACGGGAGGCAGCAGUGGGGAAUAUUGGACAAUGGGCGAAAGCCUGAUCCAGCAAUGCCGCGUGAGUGAUGAAGGCCUUAGGGUUGUAAAGCUCUUUUACCAGGGAUGAUAAUGACAGUACCUGGAGAAUAAGCUCCGGCUAACUCCGUGCCAGCAGCCGCGGUAAUACGGAGGGAGCUAGCGUUGUUCGGAAUUACUGGGCGUAAAGCGCGCGUAGGCGGCUUUUUAAGUCAGAGGUGAAAUCCCAGGGCUCAACCCUGGAACUGCCUUUGAAACUGGAAAGCUAGAAUAUUGGAGAGGUAAGUGGAAUUCCGAGUGUAGAGGUGAAAUUCGUAGAUAUUCGGAAGAACACCAGUGGCGAAGG
rnacentral:rRNA from 1 species